AAACACAGUCUCAGUUCAGAUUGUAGGCNGAAACUCGCCUAUAUGAAGUCGGAAUUGCAGUAAUCGCGGAUCAGCAUGCCGCGGUGAAUACGUUCCCGGGCCUUGUACACACCGCCCGUCACACCAUGAGAGUCGAUAACACCCGAAGCCUGUAGUCUAACAGCAAUGAGGACGCAGUCGAAGGUGGGAUUGAUAAUUAGGGUGAAGUCGUAACAAGGUAGC
rnacentral:rRNA from 1 species